GUAACAAGGUUUCCGUAGGUGAACCUGCGGAAGGA
rnacentral:rRNA from 1 species